rnacentral:rRNA from 1 species
AUUGAACGCUGGCGGCAUGCCUUACACAUGCAAGUCGAACGGUAACGGGCCUUCGGGUGCCGACGAGUGGCGAACGGGUGAGUAAUGCAUCGGAACGUACCUUUCAGUGGGGGAUAACGUAGCGAAAGUUACGCUAAUACCGCAUAUUCUGUGAGCAGGAAAGCAGGGGAUCGCAAGACCUUGCGCUGAUUGAGCGGCCGAUGUCAGAUUAGCUAGUUGGUGAGGUAAAGGCUCACCAAGGCGACGAUCUGUAGCGGGUCUGAGAGGAUGAUCCGCCACACUGGAACUGAGACACGGUCCAGACUCCUACGGGAGGCAGCAGUGGGGAAUUUUGGACAAUGGGGGGCAACCCUGAUCCAGCCAUGCCGCGUGAGUGAAGGAGGCCU